GCGGGCGUGGCUCAGUGGUAGAGCAUCACCUUGCCAAGGUGAGGGUCGCCAGUUCGAAUCUGGUCGCCCGCUCCA
rnacentral:tRNA from 1 species